rnacentral:rRNA from 1 species
UGGCUCAGGAUGAACGCUGGCGGCGUGCUUAACACAUGCAAGUCGAACGAAGCACUUAAGACAGAUUCUUCGGAUGAUGGAUUAAGUGACUGAGUGGCGACGGGUGAGUAACGCGUGGGUAACCUGCCUCAUACAGGGGGAUAACAGUUAGAAAUGACUGCUAAUACCGCAUAAGCGCACAGGACCGCAUGGUCUGGUGUGAAAAACUCCGGUGGUAUGAGAUGGACCCGCGUCUGAUUAGCUAGUUGUGGGGUAACGGCCUACCAAGGCGACGAUCAGUAGCCGACCUGAGAGGGUGACCGGCCACAUUGGGACUGAGACACGGCCCAAACUCCUACGGGAGGCAGCAGUGGGGAAUAUUGCACAAUGGGGGAAACCCUGAUGCAGCAACGCCGCGUGAAGGAAGAAGGUCUUCGGAUUGUAAACUUUUGUCGCAAAGGAAGAUAAUGACGGUACUUUGUGAGAAAGCCACGGCUAACUACGUG